AGGGGCAGGGGGUCAGAGUCCUGGUGUCCACCUGGGGAGCCCCUGACCUCAGUCUUGAAGUGGGUAUGGGACUAAGGCCCAGGGCAGGGACCUCAGGCCGGACCCUUGCUGGACUGAGGUCAGGUCAGCGGUGAGUGGAGACACUUGCUGUCAGAUGGGAGUUGCCCCCACUCUUGGGGGUCACAGACCCCCUCUUGGAUCUGUCUCUUUUUCAUAUUUUCCAUCACCUAUAGACCCCCACCGGUGCUGGCUCCACACUGGAUGGGAUGGAGUCCAGGACCACAUCUCACCCUGGGUAUUUGUCUAUCUUGGGGGUGUCUGUCUGAACACCUCCUACCAGUUCCCCUUGUUCUCAUCUCUUCAUGCAGGGCAGCUGUUGGUCCUGGGUUCAGGCUCUUCUCUCUCACAGGGAGUGGGUUUCUUACCCACACAUCUCCCUGGUGCCAUCAUUGCAGCCCCCACCCCACCUCCCUGCAGAGACCCCUCUGGGCUGCCUGGUGAGACAGGGUGUCAGUCCUGGGGGCUGGAUUCCAGUAGAUCAAAGGCCUCCAUUUGAGGCAUUUUUUUUUUACUCCCUGAGCUGAACGUGGAGCUUUGUCUGUUCGAAAGAGUCUCCAUGUCGUGAGAAGUUAUCUGGGGGAUCUGACUCUCCAGUGGGUUUUCCCUGACAAACAGGCACCCGUCCCAGUCACCGUCCCUACCAGAAGUCCCUGUCCUGGGCAUCUGCUCUGAGGUCUUCCUCCAGUGGAGGAAUUGGCACGUCUAUGGCACCACUCUGGAAUCUCAUGAUUGACUUUGACCUCCCCAGCCCCACUGACCAUCCGUGGAUAACUGGACAUUAGGUGAUGGUGGAACUACCCCUCAAAAACAAUCCAGACUUCAUUCCCACAAGGCUAAAAGAAUUUUGUUCAUCUUGCAGGUU
rnacentral:lncRNA from 1 species